rnacentral:rRNA from 1 species
ACGGAGGGUGCUAGCGUUGUUCGGAAUUACUGGGCGUAAAGGGCGCGUAGGCGGCCAGGCAAGUCGGAUGUGAAAGCCCGGGGCUCAACCUCGGAACUGCAUUCGAAACUGCUUGGCUAGAGAACGGAAGAGGAGAGUGGAAUACCCAGUGUAGAGGUGAAAUUCGUAGAUAUUGGGUGGAACACCGGUGGCGAAAGCGGCUCUCUGGUCCGGAUCUGACGCUGAGGCGCGAAAGCGUGGGGAGCAAACAGG